rnacentral:lncRNA from 1 species
AAUGCAAGUGUUUAACAGAUGCUUCACUAUUAAAAUAUUUUCCCCCCAAGUCUCAAAUAUUGAAGAAUCUCUAACCAGGCUCGAAACGCCGGUCUCAGUGGCUAUUGAGUUACCCACCAAGUUACCCCGGUUAGAGCUGUUUGGGGUGGCUCACGUUAUUGCGGCAAACUUUGGAGAUGACGGCUGAGUCCUCCGGGCGAACAUGUCAAGCCGAUUGUAAAUGCUGUUAUUUCCACAUCCUUCAGGGACACCAGUCCCUACGAAGACCUUGGGCGAUUUUGAAGUGCGGGCACCUCGAUUCCCCGAAUCUGUAGUGUGGCUGGUAUCGGUGUUCCCCUGGUUUAACUAGCCUGUUUGAAGGCACAGAUCAUUCAUGGGGAUGUAUAACCGAAACCAGUCCUCUCCACCGCCUGGGGAUCUUCACUUUCGCAGUCUACGACUGCCUGUGACUCCAGAAAGACAAACUGCAGAUUGGCCAAGUGCCUUUCAAACUGUUUUUUACUGGAUGAAGAAACUCAACCAAGAAAAUAUAUGUCGAUUCUUGUAUAUGGGACAAUAUUAGCUGCUGUGAUUUUUAAUACUAGCAUAAAAUAUAAGAAUCUUUUUAUUACUGUGAUAUUGUUUUUUCCUAAAUGAAUGCAUAGUGUAACAAUUGGUGUCAAAAAGCAUUGAAUUUUUUUCAGAUGGAUUAAGCUGGAAUAAUAAAGUAUAUCUAUGAGAUGAUUUCUGUAAACUCUGACUUGCUGAGAAAAAAGUGAAAAAGCUUUUUCUGGAAGAAACAUGGCAACUUAACCGUUAUUAAUCUGGACUAAAUAAAACAGGAAACUGCUUCUUUA